GGAGCCGUAGCGCAGAGGUCGUCGCGCCUUGGCAUCGAGCUGGAGGACGCCGGUUCGAAUCCGGUCGGCUCCG
rnacentral:tRNA from 1 species